UGGGGGAUAUUGCACAAUGCGCGAAAGCCUGAUGCAGCGACGCCGCGUGGGGGAUGAAGGCUUUCGGGUUGUAAACCUCUUUCGCUAUCGAACAAGGCCCGCUUAGGGUGGGUUGAGGGUAGGUGGAGAAGAAGCGCCGGCUAACUACGUGCCAGCAGCCGCGGUAAUACGUAGGGCGCGAGCGUUGUCCGGAAUUAUUGGGCGUAAAGGGCUUGUAGGCGGCUUGUUGCGCCUGCUGUGAAAACGCGGGGCUUAACUUCGCGCGUGCAGUGGGUACGGGCAGGCUUGAGUGGGGUAGGGGUGACUGGAAUUCCAGGUGUAGCGGUGGAAUGCGCAGAUAUCUGGAGGAACACCGAUGGCGAAGGCAGGUCACUGGGCCAUUACUGACGCUGAGGAGCGAAAGCAUGGGUAGCGAACAGG
rnacentral:rRNA from 1 species